UCAUCAGUUAAGGCGGGGCAGGGCCUUUUCACUUCUUUUAUGAUUCUUCAGUUACUUCAGGCCAUCUGGGUGUAUAUGUGCAAGUCACAGGGGAUGCGAUGGCUUGGCUUGGGCUCAGAGGCCUGACAUUCCUGCCUUCUUAUAUUAAUAAGAAAAAUAAAAUAGUGUUGAAGUCUUGGGGUGGCGAAAAUUUUUGGGGGUUGGUAUGGAGAGAGAAUGGACGAUGUUUCUCAGGGCUGCUUCAAGUGGGAUUGGGGCAGCGUGGGAACCUAGAGUGGGAGAGAUUAAGCUGAAGGAAGAUUUUGUAGAAAGGGGUGAUAUUGUGGGGUUGUUAGAAGAAACAUUUGUCAUUUCGAAUUAUUGGUGAUGGCCUGGAUACAGUUUUGUAUGAAUUGAAAAACUAAAUGGAAUAAGAGAAGGAGAAAAACAGGUAUAAAAGGUCCAAGAAUUGGGAGGACCUAGGACAUCUGAUUAGAGAGUGCCUAAGGAGAUUCAGCAUAGUCCUGCCAGCAAAGAUUAUUUAUUUACUUCAAGAGUUAAGAGUGGCGGUUUGGGGAUAGCACGAGGAGAUAUCAGCUGUGAUGGCUUGGAGAAACAGUGUAAACUGGCAGUGUAAACAAGAGCAGGGCAUGUAUGAGUAGUUGAGAAUGGAGAAUAGGAGUAUGACUAGACAGAAAAUAGUAGGGAUGACAAGUUUUUUUGGGGGCACAGUCUAAGUUGAUCCAGUGUCUGGAAUGAGACUGGGGCCUAAUAAAAAGGAGCAUCUAUACAGGAACUUAAAUGGGCUGUACCUUGUAGCAUUCUGAGGACAGGUCUGACUUCUGAGAAGGGAAAGUGGUAAAAGUAUUGUCCAGUUCUUUUUAAGUUGGUGGCUGAGCUUGGUGAGGUGUGUUUUUAAAAGACCUUUAGUCUGUUCUACUUUUCUUAAAGACAGAGGACUAUAAGGGAUAUAAAGGUUUCACUGAAUAUUAAGAGCCUGAAAAACUGCUUGGCUGAUUUGACUAAUAAAGACUGGUCUGUUAUCAGACUGUAUAGAGGUGGGAAGGCUAAACUGAGGAAUUAUGUCUGACAGAAGGGAAGAAAUGACUGCGGUGGCCUCAGACCCUGUAGGAAAGGUCUCUACCUAUCUAGUGAAAGCGUCUACUUAGACUAAGAGGUAUUUUAGGUUUUGUGACUCGGGGCAUGUUGAGUAAAGCUAAUAUGACAGUCCUGGGCAGGGGCAAAUCCUUGAACUUGAUGUGUAGGGAAGGGAGGGGGCCUGAAUAAUCCUUGAGGAGUAGUAGAAUAGCAAAUUUGCUAGUCCUGGGCAGGGGCAAAUCCCCGGGCUUGAUGUGUAGGGAAGGGAGGGGGCCUGAAUAAUCCUUGAGGAGUAGUAGAAUAGCAGAUGGAACACUGAGAAGUUAUUUCCUUGAGGAUAGAUUUCUACAAUGGAAAGGAAAUGAGAGGUUCUAAGAGGUGGGCUAGUGGCUUGUACUAUAGCAUAGCCUGCCUUUGCUGGUGUGUGGCAAUUAGGCCUGGUGGAACUGCCAUCAAUAAAUCAAGCGUGAUCAGGGUGAGGAACAGGAAAGAAGGAAAUACGGGGAAAUGCGGUGAAUGUCAGGUGGAUCAGAGAGAUACAGUCAUGGGGGUCAGGUGUGGUAUCAGGAAUAAUGUGGGAGGCCAGAUUGAAGUCCGGGCCAGGAACAAUGGUAAUUGUGGGACUUAACAAAGAGUGAGUACAGCUGAAGGAGCCGGGGAGCAGAAAGUAUAUGCAUCAGGUAUGAGGAAGAAAAUAGAUUUUGGAAGUUAUGAGAAAUGUAGAGAGUGAGUUGAGCAUAGUUUGUGAUUUUUAGGGCCUCUAAAAGUAUUAAAGCAGCGGCAGCCGCUGCACGCAGACAUGAGGGCUAGGCUAAAACAGUAAGGUCAAGUUGUUUGGACAGAAAGGCUAUAGGGUGCGGUCCUGGCUCUUGUGUAAGAAUUCUGACCACAUUAACCAUGCCUAGGAAGGAAAGGAGUUGUUGUUUUGUAAGGAAUUGAGGUUUGGGAGAUUAAUCGGACACAAUCAACAGGGAGAACACCUGUGUUUUUAUGAAUAAUUAUGCUGAGAUAGGUAACAGAUGAGGAUGAAAUUUGGGCUUGACUGAAGUAAUGGGGGCUGUCUGUGAGGCCUUGGGGCAGUACAGCCCAGGUAAUUUGCUGAGCCUAAUGGGUGUUAGGGUCAGUCCAAGUGAAAGCAAAGAGAGGCUGGGAUGAUGGGUGCAAAGGAAUAGUAAAGAAAGCAUUUUUGAGAUCCAGAACAGAAUAAUGGAUUGUGGAGGGAGGUAUCGAGGAUAGGAGAGUAUAUGGGUUUGGCACCAUAGGGUGGAUAGGCAAAACAAUUUGGUUGAUAAGGCAUAGAUCCUGAACUAACUUGUAAGGCUUGUCUGGUUUUAGGACAGGUAAAAUGGGGGAAUUGUAAGGAGAGUUUAUAGGCUUUAAAAGGCCAUGCUGUAGCAGGCGAGUGAUAACAGGCUUUAAUCCUUUCAAAGCAUGCUGUGGGAUGGGAUAUUGGCAUUGAGUGGGGUAAGGGUGAUUAGGUUUUAAGGAGAUGGUAAGGGGUGCAUGAUCAGUCGCCAAGGAGGGAGUAGAGGUAUCUUAUACUUGUGGGUUAAGGUGGGGGAAUACAAGAGGAGGAUGCAAAGGAGGCUUUGGAUUGGGAAGAAGGGCGGCAAUGAGAUGCAGCUGUAAUCCAGGAAUAGUCAGGGAAGCAGAUAAUUUAAAGUGUCUCGGCCUAAUAAGGGAACUGGGCAGGUGGGGAUAACUAAAAGGAGUGCUUAAAAGAGUAUUGUCUAAGUUGGCACCAGAGUUGGGGAGUUUUAAGAGGUUUAGAAGCCUGGCCGUCAAUACCUACAACAGUUACGGAGGCAAGGGAAACAGGACCUUGAAAAGAAGGUAAUGUGGAGUGGGUAGCCUCCAUAUUGAUUAAGGGGACGGACUUACCUUGCACUGUGAGAGUUACUUGAAGCUCGGCGUCUGUGAUGGUCUACGGGGCUUUCGAGGUGGUCGGGCAGUGUCAGUCUUCAGCUGCUAAGCCGAGAAGGAGUCAGUCAGAGAGCCUUGGGCCAGAGUUCCAGGGGCUCUGGGAGUGGCUGCCAGGUGAGUUGAACAGUCCGAUUUCCAGUGGGGUCCCGCACAGAUGGGACACGGCUUAGGAGGAAUCCUGGGCUGCAGGCAUUCCUUGGCCUGGUGGUCAGAUUUCUGGCACUUGUAGCAAGCUCCUGGGGGAGGAGGUUCUGGAGGAACGCCUGGCUGCUGCGGUUCAGGCGUUUGGAAGUUCUUGUGUGCUGGAGAUGUGGCUGGGGUUUGUCUCACAGUAGAGGCAAGGAAUUGCAACUUUUUUUUUAUUAUUGUACACCUUGAAGGUGAGGUUAAUUAAGUCCUGUUGUGGGGUUUGAGGGCCAGAUUCCAACUUUGGGAGUUUUAUUUAAUGUCGGGAGCGGAUUGGGUAAUAAAAUAUAUAUUGAGAAUAAGAUGGCCUUUUGACCUUUUAGGGUCUAGGGCUGUAAAGCGUCUCAGGGUUGCUGCCGAAUGAGCCAUGAACUGGGCUGGGUUUUUAUAUUUGAUGAAAAAGAGCCUAAACGCUUCUGAUUUGGAAUAAAGAAAAAGGAGCAUUAACCUUGACUAUGCCUUUGGCUCCAGCCACGUUUUUAAGAGUAAAUUGCUGGGCAGGUGGGGGAGGGAUACUCAUGGAACGAAAUUGUAAGCUGGACCAGGUGUGAGGAGGGGAGGCGAUAAAAAGAUUAUAGGGUGGAGGAGCGGAGGCUGAGGAAGAAUCGGGACCUAGCUUGGCCUGUUCCAUAAAAUGUAUACCACCAAAAAGAAAAAUUCUGACUGCAGGGAAGCAGUACACUCUGUAGACCCCGGAGAAAAAUAAAUCACCAUGAGAUUUGACAACAAUCAAUUUUUCACUGCACGCUAAUCAAGCAGAUAGAAAGAAGGCCAUGGUAAGGAAAUCAAGAAUGUUCCUUGUAGCAAUUAAAUGACAAAACUGGAACUUGAACCUUAAUCUUCUGACUCAAUGUCUGGGAUUCUUUCCAUGAUCCUACAUUACGUAAGACAAAAAUGGUCUAGUAUCUAAAGGCAAACAGUUUCUAUUAUGAGGAAAGAAUUAGGGAGUUAAUUUUUUAAACUGCCCUUCCGCCUCUGAAAGAUUUGAAAGAGGAAGCCACAAGCAAGCUGGGAAUGUUUCAUUUAUCUUAUCUCUGACAAGGAAUAAGAAGUAUUUUGGAAUUCCCUAGAGCCCAGCAUGUCUAUUAUGCACUGACAGAGCUUCCUGUAAUUAAAGGCUAUAUUACAUUUGGAUGGAAGUGACACACUCCCUUCUGGAAGCCUAUAGCCAUAUGCAGCCUUUAUUUAAUAAAAAAGAAAUCAGAAAUCAAUUGAAAGUGAAAUUUGUUAGGAUUAGGAUGUUAAAUAAAACCAUGUUCGGGGCAGAGUUGACAAAAUCUUUCCCUCUGAGUUGGUACGAAGUUAAGAAGCUUCUACAAUCAUACAAAAAAAAAUUUAUUUUAGGAGUAAGUGAAAAAGAGAGAUUAUUUGUUGGUUUGAGUGGAAGACUACAGAACUUUUCAAAAGAUUUGGUGAGCAGAUGCUUUUAAAAGCUCUUACCAGCUCAGUCUUUACUACUAGUAAUUUCAAACAAAGCAGGAGGUCAGAGCAUUGAUGUUAUUUUCCUCCCUUUUUCUAUAGUCCUCUUGGCUAACCACUGAUAGAGAACAGCCUGGAGCAGCCUUGAGAAGCCCCUGUGGUGAAAACACAUCAAUGUCAGCUUUAAACUGGGGGCUUGUUUUAAGCGUAAACUAAUUUUUCCAGUUUCUCCCUUACUUUACCUUUUCAUAACCAC
rnacentral:lncRNA from 1 species